rnacentral:rRNA from 1 species
UACAGAGGGGGCAAGCGUUGUUCGGAAUUACUGGGCGUAAAGGGCGCGUAGGCGGCCUUCUAAGUCGAACGUGAAAUCCCCGGGCUCAACCCGGGAACUGCGUCCGAUACUGGAAGGCUUGAAUCCGGGAGAGGGAUGCGGAAUUCCAGGUGUAGCGGUGAAAUGCGUAGAUAUCUGGAGGAACACCGGUGGCGAAGGCGGCAUCCUGGACCGGCAGUUGACG